rnacentral:rRNA from 1 species
UACGUAGGUGGCGAGCGUUGUCCGGAUUUACUGGGCGUAAAGCGCGCGCAGGCGGACUGAUCAGUCUGGGGUGAAAUCUCACGGCUCAACUGUGAGCGGUCCCUGGAUACUGUCAGUCUUGAGAUGUCUAGAGGAGAGCGGAAUUCCCGGUGUAGUGGUGGAAUGCGUAGAUAUCGGGAAGAACACCAGUGGCGAAAGCGGCUCUCUGGGGACCAUCUGACGCUGAGGCGCGAAAGCGUGGGGAGCAAACAGG